UGGGAAGUAUUGGGCGAAUGGGGCGCAAGCCUGACCCACGCAACGCCGCGUGAGGGAAGAAGGUUUUCGGUAUUGUAAACCUCUGUCAUCAGGGACGAAAAAGAACGGUACCUGAGAAGGAAGCUCCGGCUAACUACGUGCCAGCAGCCGCGGUAAUACGUAGGGAGCAAGCGUUAUCCGGAAUUACUGGGUGUAAAGGGAGUGUAGGCGGGACUGUAAGUCAGAUGUGAAAUAUGCCGGCUCAACUGGCAGACUGCAUUUGAAACUGUGGUUCUUGAGUGAGGUAGAGGUAAGCGGAAUUCCUGGUGUAGCGGUGAAAUGCGUAGAUAUCAGGAGGAACAUCAGUGGCGAAGGCGGCUUGCUGGGGCUUUAACUGACGCUGAGGCUCGA
rnacentral:rRNA from 1 species